AGUGAACGCUGGCGGUAGGCCUAACACAUGCAAGUCGAACGGCAGCACAGUAAGAGCUUGCUCUUACGGGUGGCGAGUGGCGGACGGGUGAGGAAUACAUCGGAAUCUACUUUUUCGUGGGGGAUAACGUAGGGAAACUUACGCUAAUACCGCAUACGACCUACGGGUGGAAGCAGGGGAUCUUCGGACCUUGCGCGAUUGAAUGAGCCGAUGUCGGAUUAGCUAGUUGGCGGGGUAAAGGCCCACCAAGGCGACGAUCCGUAGCUGGUCUGAGAGGAUGAUCAGCCACACUGGAACUGAGACACGGUCCAGACUCCUACGGGAGGCAGCAGUGGGGAAUAUUGGACAAUGGGCGCAAGCCUGAUCCAGCCAUACCGCGUGGGUGAAGAAGGCCUUCGGGUUGUAAAGCCCUUUUGUUGGGAAAGAAAAGCAGCAGGUUAAUACCCCGCUGUUCUGACGGUACCCAAAGAAUAAGCACCGGCUAACUCCGUG
rnacentral:rRNA from 1 species